UACGUAGGGUGCAAGCGUUAAUCGGAAUUACUGGGCGUAAAGCGUGCGCAGGCGGUUGUGCAAGACAGAUGUGAAAUCCCCGGGCUUAACCUGGGAACUGCAUUUGGGACUGCACGGCUAGAGUGUGUCAGAGGGGGGUAGAAUUCCACGUGUAGCAGUGAAAUGCGUAGAUAUGUGGAGGAAUACCGAUGGCGAAGGCAGCCCCCUGGGAUAACACUGACGCUCAUGCACGAAAGCGUGGGGAGCAAACAGG
rnacentral:rRNA from 1 species